CGCGGGAUGGAGCAGUUUGGUAGCUCGCAAGGCUCAUAACCUUGAGGUAAUGGGUUCAAAUCCCGAUCCUGCAA
rnacentral:tRNA from 1 species